GGGCGCGGGUGCAGAGGUGCUCGCGGGUGCAGAGGAGCGCGUGCGAUAAUCUGCGUGCAUUCGUCGAUAACUGUCUAUGCGAAGCACCGACGCAGCCAUGAGUACCUGCGGGGCUUCACUCUGUGCCACAACGAGCGAACCGCUGUACAGGAGCUCGACUAGCUGUCGCACCGUCUGCACAGGCACCACCGAAGGCACACGGAUCUCAGAGGGGCCGAGCAGCAGCUUGUCUUGGAAGGAGGGCGAGCCGAUUGCCAGCCCGCAGCGGUGCGCACGCAGCGAAGCUUCAUGAAUGCACACAGUCACGUCGCAGAAGUGCCCACCCAGCUUCUGCCCAUUGAGGGUCUCAAGCAGAGAGCGUGAGAAGUUCUGCAGAUGUAUGUGGCGCACAGCCUCUACAGCCGCCGACUCCGACUCCUCUUCAGGCACCAGGCCUGGCCGUGGCCGCCUUCUCACCGACUCCAAGGCAGCACUUCCGGGCGCUUCUCUUUAUUUUUAUACAGUUUUAUUGAGAUAUAAUUUACAUGCUAUCCAGCCCAUCUAUUUCAAGUGUACCAUGCAAGGGGUUUGUAUAUAUUCACAGAGUUGUGUAUCCAUCACCAUCGUUUUAGAACAUUCAUCACUCCAGAAGAAACUACUACCCAUCAGCAGCCACUGCCCAUUUCCCUGAUCUGCCCCGCCCUAGGAAAUCCGUAAUCACUUUCAGUCUAUGGAUUUGCCUAUUCUAGACCAUUCAUAUAAAUGAAGUCACACAACACUGGGUCUUAUGUGACUGGCUUCUAUCAAAGUUUGCAAGGUUCAUUUAUGUUCAUGGGCUGACCCCACAUUGGACACCGCUGCAUCCAUGUCCAUCACACAACACAGCUGCCGUUUCUUCUGCCUGCUUAUGGGAAAGUCCCCUCUUCUCCUCCGUUUUCUUCUCUUCCUGCCCUAUCACACCGUGCACUUCUCCCUUUCCUUAAAGAACCACCAUCAACUUUAGGAGGAGGGAAAGGGGUGGCUCUGGCAGGAAAAGCCAGAAUCCCCUCUAGCCAGCAGAGAGAGAGAGGAAUGGCUGCAUGUUUUCUCCCCCAGUCCAAGGCACUGGGUCUUGGCUGGGUUGAAGGUUCCAAGCUGCUCUCCUGCUGUGUCGGUGAGUUCUGGUCAACCUGCAACCUCCUGAUAUGGCCAUUGCAGUUCAUCGAGUCUUCAGGGACUCCCCAUGGCCUGGAGUACUUUGCCUUGCUUACACGGGAGAGGAGAAUGGAUUUAUAGAGAACAUCAUCUAAAUCCAACUUGACCAUUGUGUGGCCACACUUGCUAGAUUGCUAUAGUCUAAAUCUAGCAUUGUAGAAAGACGGGGGAGCUUGGAGCUGCACAAACCCAGGUCUGGAACUGGCUCCUUACCUUGGAAGGUGAAUGAUCCUGCCAGGACUCUUAGCCUCCCUGGGUCUCAAUUUCUUUAUCUGUUUCAUGGGAAUGAGGAUCUCUGCUGGGUGGUUGGGUGAUGUGGGGGCUGUGUGAAAACAGCUUGUCAAUACAAGCCAAAAUAGAAAUAUUUCUCCACAGAGUAUGAAGGUCAAAUGAGAGAAUACAUUUAAAUUAAAUGGAAAAUUAAAAUGGUAAAAAAUGCAAAGCUGUAUUGAAAGUUCCGAGCUUCUCUAUAAGGAGCUUUUUGACUAUGUAAGAAUCCUGUACUCGUUCCCCCUAAAUAUAAAAAAAAGUUGAAGGAGGCAGAAGGGAGAGUGAUGCACGAUGGGCAAGGACUUCACCUGCUGUUGCUGGCUUUGAGGAUGGAGGAAGGAGGCCACAAACCUAGAAGCUGGAGCCCCUAGAAGCUAGAAAAGGCAGGGACCCGAUUCUUUCCUUGAGCCUCCAGAAGGGACACAGCCCCGCCAGCACCUUGACUUUAGCCUGGUGAGAUCCUCUUAGGACUUUUGGCAAUCAGAACUAUAAGACAGAAAUGGAAGCCACUGAGUCUGUAGCUGUUUGUUGCAGCAGCAAUAGAAAACUAAUGCAGGGCCCAAGAAAUCACUGGUGAUGAGAUCGGGAAAGUGGGCUCAGGAGGUCUGGAUCUGUGAUGAGAUGGGGAAAGUGGGCUCAAGAGGUCUGGAUCUGUGGUGAGAUGGGGGAAGUGGGCUCAGGAGGUCUGGAUCUGUGAUGAGAUGGGGAAAGUGGGCUCAGGAGGUCUGGAUCUGUGAUGAGAUGGGGAAAGUGGGCUCAGGAGGUCUGGAUCUGUGAUGAGAUGGGGGAAGUGGGCUCAGGAGGUCUGGAUC
ensembl:lncRNA LINC01106 long intergenic non-protein coding RNA 1106